rnacentral:rRNA from 1 species
GACGAACGCUGGCGGCGUGCUUAACACAUGCAAGUCGAACGGAAAGGCCUUUUCGGAGGUACUCGAGUGGCGAACGGGUGAGUAACACGUGGGUGAUCUGCCCUGCACUCUGGGAUAAGCCUGGGAAACUGGGUCUAAUACCGGAUAGGACCGCACUCUAGUGUGUGUGGUGGAAAGUUUUUUCGGUGUAGGAUGAGCCCGCGGCCUAUCAGCUUGUUGGUGGGGUAAUGGCCUACCAAGGCGGCGACGGGUAGCCGGACUGAGGGGUUGGUCGGCCACAUUGGGACUGAGAUACGGCCCAGACUCCUACGGGAAGCAACAGUGGGGAAUAUUGCACAAUGGGCGCAAGCCUGAUGCAGCGACGCCGCGUGGGGGAUGACGGCCUUCGGGUUGUAAACUCCUUUCGCCAGGGACGAAGCGUUUUGUGACGGUACCUGGAGAAGAAGCACCGGCUAACUACGUG